CAGGUGGACAGCUGGAUGCAGCAAGGCAGUGAGGCGGUUGCCAGCACAGCUGAUGCCGCAGUGCAGAGCACCCAGGAGACUGUCUCGGCAGCUGCCUCUGCAGUGCCGUCCUCGGGCACUCCACACAGGGCUCUGGUGUUUGCCAGCAAGGGAGGCAGAGCAGUGGUGGAGCCUCCCUCAGAAACCAGCCUGCUACCCGAAACUGCUCUUGUACCAGAUAGAUCACUAAAUCUCUCAGCACCACCUGCUACUGCUGUGCCUGCAGCAGUAGACAGCCCGAUUAGCAGCUCCCCAGAAAGCCUGGCACCUCCAAUAGAGGUAACGCAACAUUCUCGAGGCAAAGACAUGCACACCUGCACGCCUGCAUGCGAAGUUCACUGUAUCGCAAAAGAAUUCCAUGGUCAAGCUCAUCUGCUGUGUCUCGAUUAAAUUUGCAGACGCUAGCUC
rnacentral:lncRNA from 1 species